GAUGAACGCUGGCGGCGUGCUUAACACAUGCAAGUCGAACGAGAAGUGAAGACGGAAACCUUCGGGCGGAAGGCUUUAUUUCGAGUGGCGGACGGGUGAGUAACGCGUGGGUAACCUGCCUCAUACAGGGGGAUAACAGUUGGAAACGACUGUUAAUACCGCAUAAGACCACAGCACCGCAUGGUGCGGGGGUAAAAACUCCGGUGGUAUGAGAUGGACCCGCGUUCGAUUAGCCAGUUGGCGGGGUAACGGCCCACCAAAGCGACGAUCGAUAGCCGAUCUGAGAGGAUGACCGGCCACAUUGGGACUGAGACACGGCCCAAACUCCUACGGGAGGCAGCAGUGGGGAAUAUUGCACAAUGGGGGAAAACCUGAUGCAGCGACGCCGCGUGAGUGAAGAAGUAUUUCGGUAUGUAAAGCUCUAUGAGCAGGGAAGAAAAUGACGGUACCUGAGUAAGAAGCCCCGGCUAACUACGUG
rnacentral:rRNA from 1 species